UACGGGGGGGGCAAGCGUUGUUCGGAAUUACUGGGCGUAAAGGGCUCGUAGGCGGCCAACUAAGUCAGAUGUGAAAUCCCCCAGGCUCAACCUGGGAACUGCAUCUGAUACUGGAUGGCUUGAAUCCGGGAGAGGGAUGCAGAAUUCCAGGUGUAGCGGUGAAAUGCGUAGAUAUCUGGAGGAAUACCGGUGGCGAAGGCGGCAUCCUGGACCGGCAUUGACGCUGAGGAGCGAAAGCUAGGGGAGCAAACGGG
rnacentral:rRNA from 1 species